rnacentral:lncRNA from 1 species
AUUAGGGAGGAGGGUCCUGGGGAAGUCAAAGCUUCCACACCUGUUCUCAAAGCCCCUCUGAGGUAUCCCCUCCCAGAUUCCAGAUCAGGUUUGGGGCUCCCAGGAGCCCUCGCUUUCUCCCCAAUAACCUCCUCCCCUGGCUCCGGGUCCUGCCCUUUGGGCUACAUGGCACAGCCUGUUUCCCUGGCCCUGUGAAGGUCCCUCCAGAGGCUGCUCUGCUCCAAGGCACACACAGACCCCAGGCCUGGCCUCCCUGAGUUGUUCCUCCCUACCAUGGCCUCUAUCCCCUGUGCGGUCUCAUCCGGAGUAAGCCUGAAGCUCGUCUUGUGAAGCCACCAUCACAUUGGCUCUUUCAGCAAUAAGCCUAAGAAAUGUAGUCUCCUCAGGCCCACGAGGUCCUCUAGAACCCCCAGAUCUUUGUGCCAACUCGUCUUUCUCCAGCUGAAGUGCUACAGCCUCUUGGUCUAUCCAUGUAGAGCUGUGAUGGCAUCAAGAAGGAAGUGAGACGCCCCUGGGACACUCCCAGGAGGGAGCAGAGGCUCUGGGGCUCCUGGCAGGGUUGUAAACUCCAGCACUGGUCGACAAUCUCUUCACUGGAGGCAUCUGGCACCUAGAGGACCCUGUGGAAGCCAUGAGGGGUGAAGCUGCCAGCCGCCGCAGGUCCCCCUCCCCACUGCCCGUGCCCAGGCUGGCCUCUGCACAGGCAGGUUACCUUAAGACCUGGACACCCCUCCCUCUUCUGGGGUGCUGAACUGAUUCCUGGCUCUGGAGAACUCUUAUAGAAGCCACACAGCUUCUGCCAAAGUGUCCCAUGUCCACCAAGACAUGGAACACCAGGGUCAGCCUGGCUGAGAAGGCCCCAGAGCAUCUAGAGACCCUUGGGUCUAGAGACCUCCCACGAGAAAGGCUGGCAUCCUGGGGGAAGCCUGAGCCAGGGCAGCCCCAUGGGAGGGGCCUGGGACCAGACUCCAGGUCUGCAGUCCUGUGGCUAUGGGGUCCAGAGCAUAUCCCCCUGGUCUCUCUGGGCCUAACUUCCUUCAUCUGCCCAUAAGAAAAACGGAAGCAAUCCCUUGCUUCUCACAGGAGAGUGGAAGAGCUCUGGGGGUCAAACAAACAAAACAGUGGAGCCAGCCUUCCUUCCUCAUAGGGCAUCCAUGCUGUGUCUGCUCUCACCGGGCUGGUCCAGGAGACUUGAAAACACUCCUGGAAAGGUGGAGGGGCUUUCAGGAGGGGCUCUGUAGUCUCCUGCUCCCCAGAUGGAGGGAUAAGCUCCCCACAGGGUCCAGGCCCUCCCUCCUGCUCUGCCUUCCCCAUUCCCACCUAGCCCCCCACCCAAUCUGCCAGCCUGCCCCCCUGCAGACACCUCUUCCCUCCCUCCUUCCCCAGCCUGGCUCUGGGACCUGAGCCUCGGGCCAUGCACUUUCCAUUAAGGAGAUAGCAUCCCUUUGCUGAAGUCCAUUUGGGAUCCAUUUUAGUGUUAUCUAAAAAUCAAAUCUACAUGGUAAUCCUUUUAAUGUACUCCUGACUUUAGAAAAAAAUGGCUUUGCGCUCCUUCAGGAAAGGUUUUAAAGCAUUACCCAGUAAUUACUACUCACCCAUGAAAACA